GGAGUGACUGAUGUGUGAGGGGGAAAUGUAAGAAACGACAAUUAAUGACACUUGCUAUGUCCCUUUUUUACUUUAUCUUAUGAUCUGUAUGCAGUGGGUUUUUUCCUCCCUGGAUAUAUAAUCUCUUCUGAUUGAGCUUUUAUGUUUUUGCCUUUCUUUGGGAAAAUAACAAUGUUAGUAAGUGUACUUCUGAGCCAUACCUGUCUUAUCAUUUCAAUCCACACAACUCUAUGAAGUACGUACUGGGAUAUUAUGGUUUUUUUAGAGGGAGAUACUCGAGCUCAGAGAGGGCAGGUCAUUUGCCCGAGAUCAUACAGCUUGUUAGUGGCACAGCCUGGAUUUCAACUCAGGCAGUCUGACACGAGGACCCUCUCACUUAAUGCCCAUGCAAUACUGCCCUCCUCUGCUUCAUAGAAAAGGUGCAACUGUGUAAAGGUGUUCCUGGAAGUAAAAACGUGAGCUUUUGUCAUAGAUUAGUCACUUGACAUCUCAGAGCCUUAGCUUCCUCAUCAGUAAAAUGACAACUUGGACUAAAUAGAUGCAUUAAAGGCCUAGCCAGAAGUAAAGUUCAAGAUUUAGAGUAUUACUAUGUGAGUAUUAGAGUAUCAGUAUUCUUGCUCAGCAUUGUAAGAAAUCUUAACCUGGAGAUACAGUGUUAGCCACUUCAUUGGUUUGUGUGAUCUCACCACAGCGCCUUGUUUUAACACUACUUGUGCUGCUUUCUACAACAUUACCUCUUCCUGCUCCUUCUAAUUAAUACUCUUUGCUUUGCAAAUGUGAUAUCUAAUCAAUUUAAUGUUCUUUUUUUUUUUUUCUUUUCUUUGAGACGGAGUCUUGCUCUGUCGUGCCCAGUCUGGAGUGCAGUGGCGCGAUCUCGGCUCACUGCUACUUCUGCCUCCUGGGUUUGAGCAAUUCUCCCACUUCAGUCUCCCAAGUAGCUGGGACUACAGGCACCCACCACCACACCCAGCUAAUUUUUUAUAUUUUUAGUAGAGGCAGGAUUUUACCAUAUUGGCCAGGCUGGUCUUGAACUUCCAACGUCAGGUGAUCCACCUACCUCGGCCUCCCAAAGUGUUGGAAUUACAGACGUGAGCCACCGAGCCCGUCCUAAUGUUCAUUUCUUACUAAACUUGAAUAAGACUCCUGGUGUGGGGGAGGGGAGUCAGUUUCAGUUAAGUAGUUGUUAGGAUGAUCUUGAAGUAUUAGUUAGCCUGAAUCAUUUUUAAAUUCCCUUCAGAAACCAAGAAUGUUAUUCAACUGUACCAAAUAAAUAACAACACGUCAGUUGCUAAUGGAACACGGUCACACUGGCCAUCUAUGGAAAUCCUCAUGUUUCCAAUGCUCUCAUUAACUACCCUGAAGAAUCAAUUUAAAAGUAAAACUAGAUUGAAUCAGAUUUCCCCCUUUUUUAUUCCAGGGGGAGGGGGAAAGGUCUUUGUUUCUUUCAUAUGUUUAAAGAAUCUUCAAAAUAUUUUAAUGAUAGAGUUGUCUAUCUGUUUCAUAUUAUCAUAUCUCCAUUAGCCUUCUAAACUCAGCCAUAUUAUUUGAUUCCUUGAAAACCAUCUAAUGUUUAAGAACACUAUAUUUUCCCCUUUUUUCUUAAUUGUUUAACUUCUCCACCAGUCACAAACACUGUUAUUCAGCCUUAAUUUUUUUUUUUUUUUUUUUUUUUUUGAGACAGUGUUUCACUCUUGUCACUCAGGCUGGAGUGCAUAGGCACCAUCUCGGCUCACUGCAACUUCCGCGUCCCAGGUUCAAGCGAUUCUCCUGCCUCAACCUCCCGAGUAGCUGGGAUUACCGGCACCCACCACCACUCCCAGCUGAUUUUUGAAUUUUUAGUAGAGACGAUGUUUCACCAUGUUGUCUAGGCUGGUCUCAAACUCCUGACCUCAGAUGAUCCACCUGCCUCGGCCUCCCAAAGUGCUGGGAUUACAAGUGUGAGCCACCACACCUGGCCUAUUCAGCCCUCUUGAUCUGCAGGCUGGAUUCAUAGGUCUUCAUCUUAGUACAGUAGGAAGUAUACUGGCAUCAGGAGGUCAAGCUUACUUCUUUCAUUACCUAUUAAGGUAGAUAGGCAUUUGUUAUAAAAUUGAACAAAAAGGAACUAGUUUACAAUUUUACAUAAAUAGUAAAAGAGAAUAAUUUCUUCUUUUCGUAGAUAAGAAAUGUUAUCAACUGGCAUAAUUUCUUACCAGUCUGUCAUCCUCCAUUUAGAAAACCAUUAGUAAUUAAAUGUUGUUUUCCUUUACCAUGUUCCUAAAUAUGAAUCCUUCAUAAGGCAUCUAUUAAAUACCUACUAUGGGGCGGUAUACAUUAUUGAUUAAAUCAAUCCAUAUUUCCCUGAGAAAGACCAAGAAAAAUUUCAAGGAAACAUGUAUCACAGCUACAUGCAUUGAGUACUUUAUAUGUUCCAGGCACUGUGAAAAGCCAUGUAUCAAUCUGUUUCAUCCUCACAAAACUCUGCAGGAUUGUUGUUAGUAUCUUCUCCAUAUGAUAGACUAUGAAACUAAGAUUUAUCGAGAUGAAACACCUUGCCAAAGGCUGCAUGUCCAAAAAACCUCAAGCUAGAAGACAAUGAAACAAUGUCAUCAGCCUGGACAACACAGCUAGACUCUGGUCUCUACAAAAAUAUAUUUUUUAAAAUCAGCUAGGUGUGGUGGCACACGCCUG
rnacentral:lncRNA from 1 species